rnacentral:rRNA from 1 species
GUGUCAGCAGCCGCGGUAAUACGAAGGGGGCAAGCGUUGUUCGGAUUUACUGGGCGUAAAGGGCGCGUAGGCGGAUUUGUAAGUCAGAGGUGAAAGCCCUGGGCUCAACCCGGGAAUGGCCUUUGAGACUGCAAGUCUUGAGUGCGAGAGAGGGUGGCGGAAUACCCAGUGUAGAGGUGAAAUUCGUAGAUAUUGGGUAGAACACCGGUGGCGAAGGCGGCCACCUGGCUCGCAACUGACGCUGAGGCGCGAAAGCGUGGGGAGCAAACAGGAUUAGAUACCCUGGUAGUCC